CACGUUGAAAACCAGUUUCCGUACAAUCAUUGAAGUUAAGCAACGUUGAGCCUGGAUAGUACCUAGAUGUGUAACCGCUUGAGAAUACCAUGUGCUGUAAG